GAAAACAUUUUCUAAAAUGGAAUUCAACCAACCGGGUGCCUUGCGUAGCACGUUUCUAAAUUUGCACCAGGACCGUCACCUUCUCCCUUCUCCUCUCUCGUGUUCCUUGUCCCUCUGUCCCUCCCUCUUUUAGACUCUUUUCUGCUUGCUCUUGUCUCUGUUGUGAUUACGGGUUUUGGUCCUCAUUGAAGGCCCUUGUGGAGUUUCACUUCUGUUUUUUCGGUUUUUCGUUGGUUGGAAUUCAUAUCCGGGGGAAAGAGGAGGGAAUCGAAGGGGGUAGGAGUUGCUAUCUCGUCGAUCGGAGGCUUCCCAGCACCUCUUGUUUCCUGCAAUUCUUGAUGGAGGCGAGAGGAAUAUCCAGCUACACCGUUCGAUUGGUCCUAUUCGAUCUGCUCUGAGGUUUGCGCUGGGUUUUUUUGUUGAUUUUUUCGGGAGUUUGUAUGGAUUUCGGGUUUGGAGAAGGUAGGGUUUGCUGUUUCACUGUGGACAGGGGUAAGGGAAAUUUUCCAGGGAAUUUUUUUGGCGGGAGUUCUGGCGGCGGAUUCCCGGAUGGAGGCGGAGAUCGGUGGCGGGAGUGGCAGGUUCUGCGCGGGAGGCGGAGAUCGGUGGCGGGAGUGGCAGGUUCUGCGCGGGAGGCGUGCCGGGGUUUCUUGUGUAGGGAAAGAGCUUGGUGCAGAGCCGGGAGUGGGAGGUGGGCGAUUGGCGAUGGGACGGGGAUCUGUUCGUGGCUAGACCCUUGAGCGAGGUUCCGGCCGGUCGGCAGUUUUUGCCAGUGUCGGUCGGUGAGGGAUCCUCGGAAGGUUCGGAUGAGGGAAAGGGCAAGGUGGAGAAGCGGCGAAGGUUUCAGGAGGAGGGGCAGGAGGCGGGGGGAGGUGGAUUUCUGGCCUUGAAACUGGGGGAGCAAGGCGAACGGGGUGGAUGGCAGCAACUGCAAGAGAUCGAAGGUGCAGGGAGGGGGAACGGGAACGUCUUCGUCGGCGGGACGGUCGGCAUGUCAGGGCAAGGGUUGCAGGGUCGAUCUCAGCAGCGCCAAGGACUACCAUCGUCGCCAUAAGGUCUGUGAGGUACACGCUAAAGCGAGCAUGGUGCGCGUUGGCGGGACUGUGCAGAGGUUGUGUCAGCAGUGUUGCAGGUUCGGGCUUGGCCAGUUCCUUUUUGUUUCCCUAGAAUCGAUUUCGAUUUGUAGGAAGGAGCACCUUAUAUUAUAUCCUGUUACAUUGCAUUGGUGCUCAAUGAAACAGGUUUUGUUGACGUAUUCCUCUCAAAAUGAACAUUCUCUCGUUUGGUUUUCAUGGUAGAAUUGCUAAAAGUUACACUGAUUUAA